GGAAGGAAAUAUUAUUUGAAUCAUUAGAUUCAUGUAGUAGAAUUUAAUGGGGUUUGAAUAUGUAGGAAGCUAAUCUUAACAUCCGGGAUGGUUGAUCUAUUAAUUUUUCUCUCCCAACUUGCAUAUAUCUUUGUUAUAAUUAUAAAAGCUAUGCAUGGAUGAAUAUAGCUAGACUUGAUAAGACAAAAGAUAACACGACGUCCAAAGUUAAAAGCCGUUAUACAUACGUCAUUUAUGAUGGUUUCUCUAGACAACCCUUAUACUUUCCGAUUACAAAAUCCGGCUAGACAACUGUUACAAAACCGCAGGUUGCAAGCACGUGUAAAUCCAC
rnacentral:lncRNA from 1 species